GAUGAACGCUGGCGGCGUGCCUAAUACAUGCAAGUCGAGCGAACAGACGAGUAGUUUGCUCCUCUGUCGUUAGCGGCGGACGGGUGAGUAACAUGUGUAUAACCUACCUAUAUUACUGGGAUAACUUCGGGACACCGGAUCUUAUAGCGUAUAAUAUCAUUAACCGCGUUGUUCAGUAGUGAUAUUCGGUUUGGCUUUCGCUUACAGCUUGAUCCGCGCCGCAUUAGCUAGUUGGUCAGGUAACGGCUUACCAAGGCAACGAUGCGUAGCCGACCUGAGAGGGUGAUCGGCCACACUGGAACUUGUACAGGGUCCAGAGGCCUACGGGAGGCAGCAGUAGGGAAUCUUCCGCAAUGGGCGAAAGCAUGACGGAGCAACGCCGAGCGUGAGAUGACGGUCUUCGGAUCGUAAAGCUCUGUUACUAGGGAAGAACAACUGUGUAAGUAACUAUGCACGUAUUGACGGUACCUAAUCAGAAAGCCACGGCUAACUACGUG
rnacentral:rRNA from 1 species